GCGGGGCUAGGCGCGCGGCGGGGCUAGGCGCCAAGCGACCGUUGGUGCUGAGGUGGGGGUGGUCCGUGUGGCGUUGGCCGUGGAGCCGUGAAUGAGGAUUCCAGUUCUCUCCUGGCGCUUGGAGAGGGCUGCUGGUAUAUUUACUGCUGUUCUUCCUUCGAAGCUUCUGUCAGUGCACAAAUCCACGUUCUGUCUGCUCAGCUCUAACGUUACCGAGCAAUCACACGGGCAGACCUAGAAGCGCUGUCAGUCACGAAUGAAAAAACGCACCCUUUUCUGCUUGUCUUUGAUUCAGGAGGAAGUCACCACACUACCGUUCACUACAAGAUCACCUCGCAGCUUCAGGUGCAGCUGAGAUUUUGUCAGGAUCAAAGCACAAGGUCAUUUCUAAGGAGAUUCUUACUGAAAUUUUGUGAGACUAUCUCAGAAUGGUGCCUAUUCCCACCAGCGAAGGAGCUUUGCUAUCAGCUCCAAGGUUUGGUUUCAAAGUCAAUGAAAGUCACAGAGGUCUCUUCUCCUGCCCACCUUCUACCAGACAAUUCAAGCAAUCCAUGCCUAGUUUUCAACGACUCCUUGGAAAGGUACCAUCUCUGAGAGCUGGUACUUUCACAAACUGCUCAUCCCUUGGCAUCAGGCUGUUUUACAAAGUCUAUAAGAAGAACACCUUUUUUUUCAAACAGAAACGGAAAGCAUAACUGGAGCAACACUGACUAGUCACAGCUGGCCACUGAGCAAAGCCCAAAUGACAAGAGAGGGUAAACCCAAAGGGAGCGCAACAUGACCUUGGAGAGGAGACGGGAUGGCCUUCUGGAACAUAUCCCCAUGGCUUGUUACCUGGAUCCUUCUGCUUAACUCCAGCUAAGUAGUCAGGAAGUGACUCUCACUUUUUUACAAUACAUCACACUACUUUGGAGUUGUUUCUAUAAAUACAGCAUGACAAAGCUGAUUUAACACCUCGGAGUGUAAUCUGCAUUCAAAAAUUAAGUGGUUGAAUUUUUAAGGUACUUUGUUGUUAAAUUGCAAUUAAGUUGGAAGGCUCUUUGCCCAGCAACGCCCCACUUGUUACAUGCAGCGAAAGUCCUUACAGAAAUCUAGGAGAUGGCCACAGCCUUGUGCGACUUGUCUCACAUACAGCAAAAGUACUACAUGAUACAAAGCAUUGUGUAAGUCUGUGUAACAGACAGCUGUGUCCAUACCCAGGUUUAAUAGGGAACAAGGGAUGGUGACAGUAUUGCUGUUACCUCUCCUCGGCCUCUGCCGGGUACGUAUUCCUGGGCUGUUUAUUCUUCCCUGUACUGAAGAAUACUAUCAAAUGGGUAAACAGUGAGGAUUGGAAAAAAAUAUUUUAUGGCCCAUCAACACAAACAAAAGCAUGGACUACGCUCAAAAAGCUAUAAAGUUGUUGGAGCGUGAGAUUAGCCCGAACAUGGGUACUAUUUGUUUAAACAAGUUUUCAAGGAUUGUACAUCUUUAUGCACCAGUUUAUUCAGAGAUGAUACAGUUCAGAAUUGCAUGUCUAAGCAGGUUUUUCUGUAGAUGCAGUUGCUCUUUUGUGCUUCAGGCUACGUUUUCAUUCACUCAUGACAGCAUAACUAGCAGUCACUCUUGUUUCUGUGGGGCAAUACGUUUACAAUGCUCCAUUUACUGAAGCUAUAGAUAUUGUUAGGUGGAACUGCUGUUGAGAGUAUGAACAACAGCAUUGCUGCAUUCACAUCAAUGAGAUUGCUGCAUGUUCUAAGUGUGUUCCUUACCUUUUUUUUUUUUUUUUUUGCAAAAUAUAUGCAGCUGAUAACUGAAGCUACAUCUGAACAAAAGACUAAAAGAGUCCCAAGCAUGGGAGACUUUUGCAAAUAUUUCAGUUGUUUACAUGAAGUAAAACAUAAUAAUCCAACGUGGAACUGAGAAUAUUUAUUUUAAUCAUUCAAGGAAUUUGCUCAACUUUAGAGUCAAGUCUGGUAAGAUGAUUAAAGCGUGGGGCAGGGAACCUGAAGACAUAAAUUCUAUUUUCAACAUUAGCACUGACUCACAGUGUGAUAUUAGUCAAGUCACUUAAUUUAACUGCCUCACUCUCCAUCUCACCUGUAAAAUGAGGGAACCUACCUCACACGUUCUUUGUGAGAUUAAUUAAAUGUUUGCUGCAUACCUAAAAGUUCUUGGAUGUAAAGUGGUGGAAAAUUUAUUAUUAAACACACUUAUAAACAGGAUACAGAAGCAGAGCUGGGUGGUUUCUAUAAAGGAAGCUCACUUCUCUUUCAUCUCUGAAUUUUUUAAGCAUGACAACAAAAUAAUUAACAACAGGAAAAACUGUGAGUGAAGCCCUUGAAAAGAGUUUAUAAAUUGAAAAUAAAAAGGAUACAAACAAACUAGGCACUGACUAAACUACAACUAAGAAGCAAAAUAUAUGAUUCUCUCUUCAAUUAAAGACAAAGGCAGGAGAUGUAAAUCUGGAGAAAGGAAGUCACGUUUCUUAAGGAAAACACAUUGUUACUGAACCCACUGCCACAAAACAUUGAAAUGAAGGUCUUGGUGAAUUCAAGAAACAAACAAUUAUAUGGCGGUGUGAGUAUCUGCUGUGAUAUUCUAUGAAAUGAGAGAGUUAAGAAACAGCUGUGUUGCAGAGCAGAAGCCAACUACUAGCUGAUAAGCAUUAAACAAAUGUGCUGUGAAGCCCGUUGGGCAGCUGAGCACCUGGGCUUAACUUCUAACUGAAGAGAACUGUGUACCUUCCAUUCCCAGCAUGCUCAAUGCAGCUGAGGUGAUGCAAGGCAGCAAUUUCUACUGCCGUUGUUCUGUGACCCCAGAAAUGAACCAAUCAAAACCACAAUGAGCAAAGGAGAAAUGGAUAAUGUAGUGCAAUCAAUGACAUACACAAGUUACACGUUUCUUGUAAGGCUGCUCGUACCAAAGACUGUUUGGGGAAAGGAUGCAGCUUAUUUGCACUUUUCUAAAGCCAG
rnacentral:lncRNA from 1 species